rnacentral:rRNA from 1 species
GAUGAACGCUGGCGGCGUGCCUAAUACAUGCAAGUCGAACGCGCAGCGAGAGGUGCUUGCACCUUUCAAGCGAGUGGCGAACGGGUGAGUAACACGUGGAUAACCUGCCUCAAGGCUGGGGAUAACAUUUGGAAACAGAUGCUAAUACCGAAUAAAACUUAGUAUCGCAUGAUAUCAAGUUAAAAGGCGCUACGGCGUCACCUAGAGAUGGAUCCGCGGUGCAUUAGUUAGUUGGUGGGGUAAAGGCUUACCAAGACGAUGAUGCAUAGCCGAGGUGAAGGACUGAUCGGCCACAUUGGGACUGAGACACGGCACGACCUCCUACGGGAGGCUGCAGUAGGGAAUCUUCCACAAUGGGCGCAAGCGUGAUGGAGCGACGCUGGGUGUGUGAUGAAGGCUUUGGGGUCGUAAAGCACUGUUGUAUGGGAAGAAAUGCUAAAAUAGGGAAUGAUUUUAGUUUGACGGUACCAUACCAGAAAGGGACGGCUAAAUACGUGCCAGCCGCCGCCGUAA